AUUGAACGCUGGCGGCAGGCCUAACACAUGCAAGUCGAACGAGUGGCGGACGGGUGAGUAAUGUCUGGGAAACUGCCUGAUGGAGGGGGAUAACUACUGGAAACGGUAGCUAAUACCGCAUACCAUCAGAUGUGCCCAGAUGGGUUUAGCUCGUUGGUGGGGUAACGGCUCACCAAGGAGACGAUCCCUAUCUGGUCUUCGAGGAUGACCGGCCAGACUGGAACGGAGACACGGUCCAGACUCCUACGAGGGGCAGCAGUGGGGAAUAUUGCACAAUGGUCGCAAGCCUGAUGCAGCCAUGCCGCGUGUAUGAAGAAGGCCGUCGGGUUGUAAAGUACUUUCAGCGGGGAGGCGUUACCCGCAGAAGAAGCACCGGCUAACUCCGUGCCAGCCGCCGCGGUAAUAC
rnacentral:rRNA from 1 species